rnacentral:rRNA from 1 species
UACGGAGGAUCCGAGCGUUAUCCGGAUUUAUUGGGUUUAAAGGGUGCGUAGGCGGCCUGUUAAGUCAGGGGUGAAAGACGGUAGCUCAACUAUCGCAGUGCCCUUGAUACUGAUGAGCUAGAAUGUACUAGAGGCAGGCGGAAUGUGACAAGUAGCGGUGAAAUGCAUAGAUAUGUCACAGAACACCAAUUGCGAAGGCAGCUUGCUAUGGUAUAAUUGACGCUGAGGCACGAAAGCGUGGGGAUCAAACAGG